GACGAACGCUGGCGGCGUGCUUAACACAUGCAAGUCGAACGGAAAGGCCCUGCUUUUGUGGGGUGCUCGAGUGGCGAACGGGUGAGUAACACGUGAGUAACCUGCCCUUGACUUUGGGAUAACUUCAGGAAACUGGGGCUAAUACCGCAUAAGCCCACGACCCGGCAUCGGGUAGAGGGAAAAGGAGCAAUCCGCUUUGAGAUGGCCUCGCGUCCGAUUAGCUAGUUGGUGAGGUAACGGCCCACCAAGGCGACGAUCGGUAGCCGGACUGAGAGGUUGAACGGCCACAUUGGGACUGAGACACGGCCCAGACUCCUACGGGAGGCAGCAGUGGGGAAUAUUGCACAAUGGGCGGAAGCCUGAUGCAGCAACGCCGCGUGCGGGAUGACGGCCUUCGGGUUGUAAACCGCUUUCGCCUGUGACGAAGCGUGAGUGACGGUAAUGGGUAAAGAAGCACCGGCUAACUACGUG
rnacentral:rRNA from 1 species